CGGUGGAGCAUGUGGUUCAAUUCGAUGCAGAGCGAAGAACCUUACCUGGGCUUGACAUGCUGGAAGUAGAAACCCGAAAGGCACCUGUCGCCGACAGGUGUGACGAGCGCAACCCCCACCCUAUGUUGCCAACGGGAUGUCAAGUCGUAUGCCCCUUAUGUCCAGGCUACAUACAUGGUCGGUACAAGGGUUGCCAACCCGCGAGGGGGAGCCUCCCAUAAAGCCGAUCUCAGUUCGGAUUGUAGUGCAACUCGCCUACAUGAAGUAGGAAUCGCUAGUAAGCGAGAUCAGCAGGCUGCGCUGAAUACGUUCCCGGGCCUUGUACACACCGCCGUCACACCACGAAAGCCAGCUGUACCAGAAGUCGCUGAGCUAACCGCAAGGAUGCAGGCGCCCAAGUAUGGUUGGUGAUUGGGGUGAAGUCGUACAAGGU
rnacentral:rRNA from 1 species